rnacentral:rRNA from 1 species
GGGGCACGGGGGUCCUACGGGAGGCAGCAGUCGAGAAUUUUUCUCAAUGGGGGAAACCCUGAAGGAGCGACGCCGCGUGAGUGAUGAAGGCCUUCGGGUCGUAAAGCUCUGUGGGGAGGGACGAACAAACCUGGGGCUAAUCACCCGGGUCCUGACAGGUACCUCCUUAGCAAGCACCGGCUAACCCUGUGCCA